CGGACGUAGGGUAAAUCUACCCUCUGCGGGGGGACAACACUCCGAAAGGAAUGCUAAUACCGCAUAAGACCACACUUACUUCGGUGAGAGUGGUAAAAGGCGCCUCAAAGCGCCACCAGAGGAUGAGCCUGCGUCCCAUCAGCUUGUUGGUAAGGUAACGGCUUACCAAGGCUAAGACGGGUAGCUGGUCUGAGAGGAUGAUCAGCCACACUGGCACUGGAACACGGGCCAG
rnacentral:rRNA from 1 species